UUUUCCGCUCCCCACAUUCCCACAGAUACCAAGCAGGUUUCCCUUUUGGAAAUACCACUGAGGUUAUUGUCUACUCAUCCAGAGCCUAGAUGACCUCAGUUACAAGAGGAACAUAACAGCCAACAAAAAUGCCACAAAUAGACACAGGGCCUGACCGCCUGUGAAGUUCGGACCAAGAAAGUGUUGCAUUUUCCACCACGAUAGCAGAGCCCGCGUCUUGGUUUUUCCUCAGGUAGGGCUCUGGACUCUGGAUAAGCAGUAUUGUCUGAAAUGGACAGACACUGAAUUUAUAUCCAGGUUUUAAAGGUUGAGAUUGCCAAUUGCAAAAAGUAAUAAUAAUAACAAUAAUAAUAAAGGAGAACACUCAGAAAGUGCAACUUCACCUAACAGCAAUGGCUAUACUUAAACUUGCUAAUAAGUAGAUCAUUUGUGCUGAUGUCAGCAAUAUUAAUAUGGAAAUUAAUUAGAUUAAUUAAUUAAAAUGAAUAUAGUACCAUAUUACCCCAUUAGUGCUCUUUGCUCUCAGGGCUUACUGGCUAUCCUGGAGUAUUUAAAAGUAGAAUGGAAGCCAGUGCCUGAAACCAGCUCCCAGUUUGGAUUCAGGAGACAGACACCCUCUGUACUUUUAAGAUUAGCCUUUCCUUUUUGAUAACACAUAGUUAGGGCUGGAUCAGGUGACCCUGAAUCCUCCCUUAGUUAUGCUGCAAUAGGUCUAGGCUGCUGGGAAAUUCAGAUCAUGUGCUUCUUCUUCAAUCUUCAAUCAGACGAUUCAAUUGGAGAUGAUGUAAUGGAACCUAAAGCUUUUCUUAAUUCAUGUGACUCCUACCUUUGACCUAUGGCCUUGAAGCAUUACAUACUUAAAUGAUGUAUUUAAAUAUCUUUACCCAUUUGAUUGGAGCAGAAUUGACAAAAAUCCUUGGCUUUUAUAAGGUGUAAAAACUUCAGAUUUUAAGAUAUAGUCAUGCACUGUGUGAUUUUGAGAACUUUAUGAAAUCAUUGUGAUGUUGUAGGGCAUCGGAUUGAAAAAUUAAAAAAAGGGUAUUAUACAGCUCUUUCCAUGCACUUUCAUAUAUUACUCCAUAUGAUUUCUGGGAGGUCAAAGUCAAGAUUGGGACUCAAGUCCCAAAGGUCUAGUGUAUUUUUAUGAAGCUUGAAGACAAUCCAUAAAAAAAAAUUCUGGGUAAUAUAAAGUUUUUACCAAUUUUAACAUUAGGUGUGUUAAACCUUGACCCACUUAUCACCAAAAUUAAAUACCCUUAAGCUCUUACUGAGAUCUACCAUCACACAAAAUUUGAAAAUGAUAUAUUGAAAACUCUAGAUGCUAGACUGCUAACAGACUGACAAACAGAACCCAUACA